AUUUGGCACUUGUGGAAUAAUCG
rnacentral:miRNA from 2 species